GUCCACGCCGUAAACGAUGAGUGCUAGACGUCGGGGGGUAACCCUCGGUGUCGCAGCUAACGCAUUAAGCACUCCGCCUGGGGAGUACGGUCGCAAGAUUAAAAACUCAAAGGAAUUGACGGGGGCUCGCACAAGCGGUGGAGCAUGUGGUUUAAUUCGAAGCUACGCGCAGAACCUUACCAGCCCUUGACAUGGGGAUCGCGGAGACAAGAGAUUGUUUCCUUCAGUUCGGCUGGAUCCCACACAGGUGCUGCAUGGCUGUCGU
rnacentral:rRNA from 1 species